rnacentral:tRNA from 1 species
CAAAUUAAAGCUUUAUUAGAAGUUUCUUAGUUACAUUAAGAGGAUUAUUGUAAAUCAAUAUAGUUUGA